rnacentral:rRNA from 1 species
UAGCAUAUCAAUAAGCGGAGGAAAAGAAAAUAACAAUGAUUCCCCCAGUAACGGCGAGUGAAGAGGGAAGAGCCCAAAUUUGGAAUCUGGCGUCUUUCAGGCGUCCGAGUUGUAAUCUGGAGAGGCCAUAUUCGUGUCGGACCGUAGCAAAGUCUGCUAUUAUGCAGCGCCAGAGAGGGUGUUAGCCCCGUUUUGUACUAUGGAUCCCCGAUGCUUAGAGUAGGUCUUCAAAGAGUCGAGUUGUUUGGGAAUGCAGCUCUAAGAGGGUGGUAAAUUCCAUCUAAGGCUAAAUAACGGCGAGAGACCGAUAGCGCACAAGUACCGUGAGGGACAGAUGAAAAGCACUUUGGAAAGAGGGUGAAAAAGUACGUGAAAUCACUGAAAGGGAAGCGCUUGAGGUUAGACGUGCAUUGUAUGAUUCAGCCAAUCUUUGGAGAGGUGUAUUUCGUACUAUUGCAGGCCAGCGUCAGUUUUGUGUGCUGGAUAAGGGGUAUAGGGAAUGUAGCAGUAGCUUCGGCUGCUGUAUUAUAGACCUUUACUGGAUACAGCAUGCGGGACUGAGGAACGCAGCGUGCCUUUAUGGCCAAUCCUGCGGGAUUGUGUACGCUUAGGAUGCUGGCAUUAAUAGCCUUAAACGACCCGUCUUGAAACACGGACCAAGGAGUCUAACAUGCUUGCAAGUAUGUGGGUGUCAAGCCCUUGUGCGUAAUGAAAGUAAACGUAGGUGGGAGCCCUUCGCGGGGUGCACCAUCGACCGGCUUGAAACUACGUGUGAAAAGUCUGAGUAGGAGCAAGUAUGUCGGGACCCGAAAGAUGGUGAACUAUGCCUGAAUAGGGUGAAGCCAGAGGAAACUCUGGUGGAGGCUCGUAGCGGUUCUGACGUGCAAAUGCGAUGCGUCGAAUUUGGGUAUAGGGGCGAAAGACUAAUCGAACCAUCUAGUAGCUGGUUUCCUGCCGAAG